rnacentral:rRNA from 1 species
AUUGAACGCUGGCGGAAUGCUUUACACAUGCAAGUCGAACGGCAGCACGGACUUCGGUCUGGUGUCGAGUGGCGAACGGGUGAGUAAUGUAUCGGAACGUGCCCAGUCGUGGGGGAUAACGUAGUGAAAAUUACGCUAAUACCGCAUACGAUCUAUGGCUGAAGGCGGGGGAUCGCAAGACAUCGCGCUAUUGGAGCGGCCGAUCACAGAUGAGGUAGUUGGUGGGGUAGAGGCCCACCAAGCCAACGAUCUGUAGCUUGUCUGAGAGGACGACCAGGCACACUGGAACUGAGACACGGUCCAGACUCCUACGGGAGGCAGCAGUGGGGAAUUUUGGACAAUGGGCGAAAGCCUGAUCCAGCCAUUCCGCGUGCAGGAUGAAGGCCCUCGGGUUGUAAACUGCUUUUGUACAGAACGAAAAGGUUUCUACUAAUACUAGGAGCUCAUGACGGUACUGUAAGAAUAAGCACCGGCUAACUACGUGCCAGCAGCCGCCGCGG